CUUCCAGCCCGGAGAACUCCUGCAUCCUGCUGGUAACCUCGUGGGUAGCCGGGGCCCACCCCAAGAGAAAACAGAGUACAGGGCCUGGGCCUUGGGGUCCCCCAGGACCAGGAUCUACAUGGGGCUCUGUUCUUCCCUCGCUUCUCUUCAGCUCUCAGCAUCUCCCUUUCCUCAUUUGCAAAACAGCAUCCGAAAACCUUCCUCGCCAGGUAGUCCUAAAAGCAGAAUGAAGGAGUUUAUGCAAGUAAUCAUUGCUCAGGAACUGUGGGCUCCUCCCCUCCCCUCAGAAAAUGUUUGUUGAAUGAAUGAAUGAGUGAACCAAACAGCUGUGCACCAAACCAGCCACAGCCAGAGGGAGCUGAAGAGAAACCACGGACCUGGGAUGGGAGGAUCUGUUCUCUGGUGUCCGCCAUGGCCCCCAUCACCUUGAGCAAGAACACGUGGCACCGCAUGAGCUCCUCAGGACCCCGCCCUGUAGCAGACCCUGAACUUCUUAUCCCCAUCGAUACUGUGGCAGACUGAGCCGCAGAAGGAGCAUGACGGGGCCGAGAGACCACAUGUAGCUCGUCAAGCAGAUGGCAUUCAGCUCCUGAGUCCUAGAUAGCGCCCCCCAUCACCAUUGUCAGCACCCCGUGAGGUCUCUGGGGUCGCUUUCAGCACAGCCCUGGCCUCAGACAACCAAAGUGGGGAGCUGCGUCUCCUGGCAAGUUUGGUCACGAGGAAUCCUUUCUAAACACGAGAGCCAGGACCCGAAGAAAAUGCCAAACAAUCCCUUCAGAACAGAGCCAUCCCUUUGCUCAGGCACAGGUGAGGGGUGCAACCUUGGUCUCCUGAGGACAUUGUCACACGUCUUCUCCUCGCCUAGCCAGCGCUGGGAUCCCCGCUUACCUGAAUCAGGGAAGGCUGAGCGUCCGCAGCAGCAGGAUCUCGGUGUCCGUCUGUCCGCAGACCCAGCCUCGGCGCUAUCUGGAAAUUGCAGAAAUGAGGAAACAGAGCAUACCACUGCCAAGUCACCCACAGGGAGGAAAUGCUGUGACCCUGGGGCUCCUCCAACGGGUGGCACCAAGAACCUCCAAGCUGGCUGACCGGGCCCUGACCACUGGUCAGAGGGUUUCCCCAGAGCCAGGGGCCAGCUGGGCAGUGGGCGGGCCAGGCAGCUGGGAUGCAAGAGAGCAAGCAGAAAAUCAGAGCAGACAGUCUCAAGAGAGACAGAGAGAGAGAGAGAGGGAUUGAGCACGAAAGCAAGGAAAAGAGAAAAGAGAUGAGAAACCAAGAGAGGGAGAGAGGGGGACAGCCAGGAAGGCAGUGAGAGAUGGGGGAGAAAGGCACAUGGAGAAAGACAGAUGUAAACACAGAGAGAGAGCAGGAGAGGAAUGAGGAGACCGGAGGCCAGAAACCAAGGAAAUUAGAAGCAAACGCAAUGAGGCCGUGAGUGUGUGCCUGGUGUGUGUGUCUGUGUAUGGGCGUGAGAGAAAAAAAAAGGAAAGAAAAGGAGAGAGGGCGGGGAGGAAGAAACAUCAAGAAAGCGAAAAGGAUGAGAAGAGGGGGCACCUGGGUGGCUCAGUCAGUUAAGUGUCUGCCUUCAGCCCAGGUCAUGAUCCAGGGUCCUGGCA